rnacentral:rRNA from 1 species
UACAGAGGGUGCGAGCGUUAAUCGGAAUUACUGGGCGUAAAGCGCGCGUAGGCGGCUUUUCAAGUCGAUUGUGAAAUCCCCGGGCUUAACCUGGGAACUGCAGUCGAGACUGUCUAGCUAGAGUAUGGGAGAGGGAAGUGGAAUUUCAGGUGUAGCGGUGAAAUGCGUAGAUAUCUGAAGGAACAUCAGUGGCGAAAGCGACUUCCUGGACCAAUACUGACGCUCAUGUGCGAAAGCGUGGGGAGCAAACAGGG